UACGAAGGGGGCUAGCGUUGCUCGGAAUCACUGGGCGUAAAGGGUGCGUAGGCGGGUCUUUAAGUCAGGGGUGAAAUCCUGGAGCUCAACUCCAGAACUGCCCUUUGAUACUGAGGAUCUUGAGUUCGGGAGAGGUGAGUGGAACUGCGAGUGUAGAGGUGAAAUUCGUAGAUAUUCGCAAGAACACCAGUGGCGAAGGCGGCUCACUGGCCCGAUACUGACGCUGAGGCACGAAAGCGUGGGGAGCAACAGGG
rnacentral:rRNA from 1 species